CAACAUUAUGAUAUCUUUGUGGUCAUUGUAGGUUUUUGAUAUAGAAAAUGGAUUAGUAGCUGAGCUAAUGAGGGUGUUAGGAAAGCCGUAACUUUUGGAUGAAUCCACACACCCAUGGGAGCAUUGUUUGCCAGUCUGUCUUUAUAAAGGAACAGGGGAGACAAGCUUUCGCUUGAGUUGGUUUGGUGGCCACAAAGCUCCACCAAAAGCCAAUCAGUGCCCUCCUCUCCUCUCCUCUCCUCUCCUCUCUCCCUUCAGCCAUGAGAUCCUUCAGAUCUCAGACAGCAGCAGAAGGAAUAGAAUAAGGAAUCUAGGGGGAGAAAAGGAGAUGGAAAAAGAUUGAUAGGCCUGGAUUCUUGAUUCAUUCACCGCACUUCUUCUCUACCUUUCUCUUUUAUACUCUCUGCAAAUGAAGAAAGGUCGCACCUUUGUCACUGCAUCUGCUAUUUCUCUUGGUUUCCCUUGUCGUCUUGGGCCUGGUGACUCGAGGUUUUCUAGGGUUUAGGUUUUACGACAGGGAUCAUUGUGCUUGGACUCCUCGCUUGGUAGGUGCUUGUGCUUCUUCCAAGCUUCCAUCUUUCUCCUUGAUCUGCUUCUCCGAACAAAGGUGUGUUUUGGGUCAAGCAACUCCAUCCUUCCUUCUCGGUUGGUUCUUGUGCACAAGAUCCAGCUCAAGAUCGGAUUUUUGUGAUCAAAGGGAAGGCUCUCGGGGGUGCCGGAUGAAGACAACAAGAUCGUGGACGGAUGUCCUUCCUUGCAGCACGAACUGGUUCGUUCGCCAGGAAAACGGCGGGAGGUGGACUCAGGAGGAGAACAAGCGCUUCGAGGACGCCCUGGCAAAAUUCGACGGAGACACCCCGGACCGUUGGGAAAAGGUGGCGGCUUUGAUCCCUGGGAAGACGGUGCCAGAUGUGCUUAGCCAUUACCGGGAAUUGGUGGACGACGUCACCGAGAUAGAAGCCGGCCGGGUCCCCUGUCCUGUGUACUACGGGACUUCAUCUUUUACACUGGACUGGGAGAACAGUUAUGAUUCCGAAGGAUGGAAGAACACUUACUGCGCCGGCGGCGGCGGCGGCGGCAAGCGAUCUGGUGCCAGAGCAUCUCAUCACGAGAGGAAGAAAGGAAUCCCUUGGACCGAAGAGGAGCACAGGCUGUUCUUGCUUGGACUGGACAAGUGUGGUAAAGGAGACUGGAGAAACAUCUCUAGAAAUUUCGUGAUGACCAGGACUCCUACUCAGGUGGCCAGUCAUGCCCAGAAGUACUUCAUCAGGCUCAACUCUGGCAGCAAAGACAAGAGAAGGACCAGCAUACAUGACAUUACUACUGUCGAUUUGCCUGAUAAUAAACCUCCCUCACCAUCUUCCCAACCAUCCACUGUUACCACACAAUCAAGUUUAGCUAUGACACCUUCAUUGUCAGGCCAAUUAUCCGCCAUUCUCGAUUCAGAUCAACUCGGUGAAGUAGCUAGUGUCUUCAAUCCAUCAUCACACGGCAAUAAACUCAUGCAGCGUCACUUUGGAAUAUCUCAACACAGGAUGAAACUACAACCUCAAAUGUUACCCUCGCUCAUGGAUGAGGUAUCGCUGAAUGUGACAUCCCAUAGAUAGAUGCUUGCUGAUGGAUCUUUUGGGAGGAUUGGCUGAUUCUGACCGCCUGGAAGUUUGAGGUUGAAAGAAAGAUUCGGAAUGCUUAAAUUCCCCAGCAUGUGGUUUCAUAGUUGAAGCUCAAAAGCUUUUGCUUCUCUGUAUGGUAAACCAUUUCUACAGUAUUGGAUAUCAGGAGUGUGACCUCAGCAACACAAUCUCCUGAUGACUCGUAUCCUAAUUAUCAUCAAGAGGGAGUGUUGCUUGUUGGAAUUGGAUUAAUCACCAUGCUUUGCCUUGUGGAUUAUUAGGGAAGCAAGGAUAUCGUGGGCUGUUCUUUCUCACCGGGCUUGAUCAAAGUCAUGCUACUCUUGUUGGGUUAUCAGAUGAGAGGAAGGGGCAUGCUUCCAUGUUAAAGCUGGUGUUGUAGAGCAACUCGGCAAUGGUCAUGACUCACUGACCGUCGUUUCCUAUGUUCCUAACUCUGCAACUCUGCAAUGUUAAAGCAUAUCCAAUUGUUUCCACAGAACUGCCGAUUCCUUGCUUCCAUCCAUAUGUUCUAACUCGAAUCAUCUGGAAUACCAGAUUGGAUGAGACGGCUACCUUUGGUGGCUGUGCAAUCGACAGUCAAAUAGUGCUCAUCCUUUGCUAUAA